GACGAACGCUGGCGGCGUGCUUAACACAUGCAAGUCGAGCGGUAAGGCCCUUCGGGGUACACGAGCGGCGAACGGGUGAGUAACACGUGGGUGACCUGCCUCUAGCUCUGGGAUAAGCCUGGGAAACUAGGGUCUAAUACCGGAUAUGACUCCACGGCGCAUGUUGUGGGGUGGAAAGCCUUGUGCGGCUAGAGAUGGGCCCGCGGCCUAUCAGCUUGUUGGUGGGGUGANGGCCUACCAAGGCGACGACGGGUAGCCGGCCUGAGAGGGCGACCGGCCACACUGGGACUGAGACACGGCCCAGACUCCUACGGGAGGCAGCAGUGGGGAAUCUUGCGCAAUGGGCGAAAGCCUGACGCAGCGACGCCGCGUGAGGGAUGACGGCCU
rnacentral:rRNA from 1 species